UUACCAUUCUGUUGUCCUUUAUCCAUUUGGCUACAUGCAGAUUCCCAUCUGGUAUCAGUGUCCUUCCUGGAGGAUUUAACAUUUCUUGUGGUGUGGGUCUGCUGGUGAUGUAGUCUUUCAGCAUUUGUAUGUCUUCCAAUGUCAUUCACCUUCAUUUCUGAAAGCCUUUUUUGGAGGGGAGGCGUAGAAUUCCACCUUGACUUUGAUGCUGCUCCAUUGCCUUCUCACUUGCACCGCUUCCGGGGAGAAAACUGACAUCCUGUUUACUUUUGUGUUCUGUACGUACCAUGUCUUUUUCCUCUGGGUGCUUCUGCACAGUUGUUUUUGGUUUUGCUUUCUUUUUCCAUGGAUUUGAGCAAUACAAUUAUGAUGUGACUAGAUACGGUUUCCUUCCUGUCUCUUGUGCUCAUUCGUCAUGUUCAUUCGGCUCCUUGGAUCGGUGGGUUUACAAUCAUUAUAAUGAUUGGAAGUCCUUCUGUUGUUGUCUCCUCAAAAAUUGCUUCUUUACCCCCAGUCCCAGUCUUUUCAGGAACUCUGAUCACUCAUAUCUUUUAAAGUUGCCCUACCAUUCCCUGACAGCGCUUUACUUCCUGGAGCAGACGUUGCAUGUGUUUUUCACCCUCACCAAUAUCUCCUCAAGGUCCCCACACCUCCUCUGAACCCGUUGCCCACAGCUACUCUAUGUGAUGUCUAAAUAUGUGCAGCAGCAUUAUAUUAAAAGUGUUUUGUUUUUUCUCUCUUAAUUAGAAAAGUUCUAAUUAAUUAACUCAGUUUAGUAUCAUUGGAAGAACGUAAAGAUAACAGUAGGUCUUAAAAUUGCAAAUUGACUCGACACAUAAUGGAGAAAUGCAUGUGGACUAUAAAAAUAUAAAAUACCUAAAAACCUUUACCCCAAAAUAUUGUAAGAAUAAUUAAGUCACUAUGAGUUCCAGACUUCUAAGACUUACUCUCCAUUUACAAAUCUUUUAGGAUCUCUUUAAUGUACUGAAACACAUAAUUUCAUAUUGUAUAAACUCCUUAAAUACUAUUGGAAUUGAAGUGCGCUUAUUGGGCCAGUAAAACCAAUAUAGGAAAUUUAGGUGGCUACGUGUCACCAGGAAUUUGAAGAGAAAAUAAAUCCAAGACCUGUAUAAACUAGAAUAUAUCUACCAAUAUUUUCUAUAUUAUUAGAAAACCCGGAAGACAACAUAAAACAGUUUUUAGGCCACAACUAUUAAACCAGUCGGAUGCACACAAAAAGUCCUCUUUAGAAAUAUGACAUGACAUAAACAUGUUCUAUGCCAUUAUAUGUAAAUUAUUAAAAUCCUUUAAAGUGUUUAAACGUAUUCGAGAUUCAUCCUUACUAUCCACUUGAUGUUUUCCCCCUUGUACCUGAGUGCACGGAGAGCAAUUUAUCUACAUCUAAACAGGGCUUUUUGUUUGUCUGUUUUCCCGGGUUACAGAUUCAGCAAGAAAGGAAGUAGGAGGGGUGCCUGGCUGGCUCAAUCCGUAGAGCAUGGGACUCUUGAUGUUUAAAAAAAAAGAAAGAAAAGAAAGAGAAGGAAGGAAGGGCGGAGGCAGAGAAAGAAAAGGGUGAGGGGGACAAACCCCCAUCAAUAGCGUCCUUGCACGCCCCCCUUGGGUCCUGGAAAUAGAAGCUCAGUCACUACCCCACUUGGGGAAGGGGCUCAACUGAAUACACACCACAAAUCAGGUUGCCUGUGUCUGCUUGGACUCAGAGUGGAGCCAGGACAAGCUCAAGGACAGGACGAGAUGAGACCAAGCACCAUUAUCACAGGGCAGCCAGCUACCUGACAGUGCCAAGGCAGACAAUCCUGGAAAGCUCUUGAAGACUUCCCCUUCCCCUUGAAGAUUUUCCCACCCGCUCCCCCUCAUCCUCCCACCACGGGGAAAGGAUUCUUCACCUUCUGUUGGGCCAGGACCCGUGAAGAUCCCUGCAGGGCAGGAGAGCCUGCAGGGCAGGAGGAUCCAGGGGGCAGCAGCUGCACUUCCCUGAAGGGUCUCUCCCCGGGUGGCGGGUUCUAGAGCUCAGGCUCACCCUAGAUCCACUGCCCACCAAAGCCACCAGGAGGAGUCCGGAGGGCAGCCGGUGCUGGGGGCACGACAACCUGGACGUGUUCCUACAAGCACAGGGCACGCCUGGCCUGCCCUCUCCAGGAGAGCCGAAGAACCGCCUGCCUGCCUGAAGCUUCUCUACAGCCUGAAGGGAACAGGUGUCUGCUUCCUGAAGGAACAGGAGGGCUCUCCUCCACAGGACAAAGCCCUCCCCUGGCCCUGGAGGAAAGGUCCUGCAGAGGCUGGUUCUGCGCGACACUGCCCAAGGCAAAGGAGCAACCGCGGACCAAACAAUCAUCUGGAGAUGACUGCACAAGUCCUGUCUGUACAUGUGGAGCGAGAAUGAGAAAGCAAAUGUGGGGAAAUGUUAACUGGUGCACCUGGGUGAGGGAUAUAGGAUGUGACCAUUCUGGCAACUGUUUGGGUAUGUUUCAAAGUUUGUUUGUUUGUUUGUUUGUUUGUUUGUUUGAAAGGAGUGACAAAGUCAAGUCCCAGGUUCUCUUUAGAGGAAAACGCUUAAAGUGAGACCUUGGGUUUCUGAGGUGAAUGGAAGGGAGCCGCUGGCCUGGCUUCUCAUCCCAGCUCUCCUCUCCCAGCCUGGCCAUUACAAGGACCCGGACUCCUGACCUCCCGUAUUUUAGGGGCUCAGUGCACAGCCACUUCUGCAAGCGUCCCUGGGUGCACACCAGACUUCGGGGGAUGAAAAGGCAAAUCCUAAGUAUGGAGACAGCGCCACAAAGUCUCCUGGAUUGGAAUCGAACCUGAGCAGUAGCGGUGAAAAAUCCAAAUCCCAUCCCACCGAUCCGAUCCCGGGGAAUCCACCCACACAGGAUCCCUGCUUCGGCCCCUGCAGAUGAAAACCCUGAAAGUCAAGGUGACAUUUCCCAGGCGGACAGAGCACAAGCGGAGGCGAUUCCCAGCGGCGCGGGGCUGAAUGCAGCCGCACAAGGCUCCCAGCCCUUGCCCUGCUGCUCACCACCUCUUCCAGCCUCAGCGACCCCUUGGGCCCUGACCACAAGGUGACUGGCCUGUGCCACACUCUAGUCCAGCUGGAGCCGUGUGUGUUGCAGAGCCAAGGCCGUGCUCUCUUUCUGAGCCUCGUUUGCUGAUGGGCAAAUAAAUACACCUGUUGCGCAAGUGUGCCGCCCAGGGAA